GAGAAAUUCGAAAAUUCCAAAAAUUCCGUUUAUUUACACAAAUUCAUUUGAAUUCCAGACAACAUACGAGUUCUCACUAUUUCGAUAGGCAGACAAAUGUACACAGAGAUGGGCUAGUUUGGGUUAAUUACACAGUUCACUUAGCCUAUGAUUCAAGCAUUCGGAUUGCAGAUUGAAGAUUGCAGAUGGUUGGGAGAGGAGGAUUAGGAUGAGCACAUUAUCCAUCCGCGCGGGCCAGCUUCAGUCGCACGGCAAUGCGUUUGCACUUCCACAUGAGCUGCGUUUCCAGGAUGCUGAAGGACAUCGCAACCAGGACGAGUCCCAGAAGCAAGUAAGCGCAGCAGGCGUAUAGCUGCAACUCAGGCCCGUUAAAGCUCCGCGCGGGCACAAAAUCACCGUAUCCAAUGGUCGACAGGGUAACAAAACAGAAGUACGCUCCGUCCACCAGCGACCAGUUCUCCCACAGAGCGAAGAUCACGGUGCCCACGCAGAUGUAGCUGGCCAGGAUGAGCAGCACCAGGCUGAUGGGCACCUGCCGACCGUCCGCCUUCUCGUCCUCCUCCUCGGAGUCCUCCGCCUCGCGGCAGUCCUUGCCGUCGCAGUGGUAGCGCAACUUCUUCAGCACAAACUGCUCGCUGCCGUGUUGCAUGUACUCCUCGUCGUCGGAGGUCUCCGUGUUGUUCGCCGUACUGUCGUACAGCGUUCCAGAGGCGUGUCUGUGGCAACGGCGAGUCAGCAGCAGCGUCUUGCGGCUCAGCGGCUGCAGUGUGUGGCGGUUGAAGGCGGUGUUGCGGGUGGUAUUCUCGCCCGAGUCCUGCGGCACACUCAAAGGACUCGCUAUCAGCGGCACUCGGGACGGCGUUCCGUGCGGACAGUUGCUGCGAAAUGAUAGGAAACACGGAUGGACAAUAAAUAUUUAUGUUGCAGCUGACCAUAAAACAUAUCAAUUAGGCAUAAAAAGCUAACCCCCGAGCAACCUCAGGUCGUAAAAAAGGAAAUAGCUGGGCUGACCUCCAAUCAAUAAAGCAUAAAACUGUCGGUUCACGUGGGCUACACCGGCUUGGAACAUGAGGCGUAUGCAUUACAUUCAGACAGCUUUGUUAUAUUCAGAAGACCAACUAUAAAAAACGACGUCCGACGGCUGGAAAGAGCUUCAGUUCUCUAUUC
ensembl:ncRNA asRNA:CR44205 antisense RNA:CR44205